rnacentral:rRNA from 1 species
AGUCGAGGGGUAACAGAGGAGCUUGCUUCUGCUGACGACCGGCGCACGGGUGCGUAACGCGUAUACAAUCUGCCUUGCACUAAGGGAUAGCCCAGAGAAAUUUGGAUUAAUACCUUAUGGUUUAUUAAGAUGGCAUCAUUUUAAUAAUAAAGAUUACGGUGUAAGAUGAGUAUGCGUACCAUUAGUUUGUUGGUAAGGUAACGGCUUACCAAGACUACGAUGGUUAGGGGCCCUGAGAGGGGGAUCCCCCACACUGGUACUGAGACACGGACCAGACUCCUACGGGAGGCAGCAGUGAGGAAUAUUGGACAAUGGAGGAGACUCUGAUCCAGCCAUGCCGCGUGCAGGAAGACGGUCCUAUGGAUUGUAAACUGCUUUUAUACAGGAAGAAUAAGGACUACGUGUAGUCUGGUGACGGUACUGUAAGAAUAAGGACCGGCUAACUCCGUGCCAGCAGCCGCGGUAAUACGGAGGGUCCGAGCGUUAUCCGGAAUUAUUGGGUUUAAAGGGUCCGUAGGCGGGCCAUUAAGUCAGGGGUGAAAGUUUGCAGCUCAACUGUAGAAUUGCCUUUGAUACUGAUGGUCUUGAAUUAUUGUGAAGUGGUUAGAAUAUGUAGUGUAGCGGUGAAAUGCAUAGAUAUUACAUAGAAUACCGAUUGCGAAGGCAGAUCACUAACAAUAUAUUGACGCUGAUGGACGAAAGCGUGGGUAGCGAACAGGAUUAGAUACCCUGGUAGUCCACGCCGUAAACGAUGGAUACUAGCUGUGUGGUUUUCGGACUGCGCGGCCAAGCGAAAGUGAUAAGUAUCCCACCUGGGGAGUACGUUCGCAAGAAUGAAACUCAAAGGAAUUGACGGGGGCCCGCACAAGCGGUGGAGCAUGUGGUUUAAUUCGAUGAUACGCGAGGAACCUUACCAGGGCUUAAAUGUAGAUUGACAGGUUUAGAGAUAGACUUUCCUUCGGGCAAUUUAC